rnacentral:rRNA from 1 species
GACGAACGCUGGCGGCGUGCUUAACACAUGCAAGUCGAACGGAAAGGCCCUGCUUUUGUGGGGUGCUCGAGUGGCGAACGGGUGAGUAGCACGUGAGUAACCUGCCCUUGACUUUGGGAUAACUUCAGGAAACUGGGGCUAAUACCGGAUAGGAGCUCCUGCUGCAUGGUGGGGGUUGGAAAGUUUCGGCGGUUGGGGAUGGACUCGCGGCUUAUCAGCUUGUUGGUGAGGUAGUGGCUUACCAAGGCUUUGACGGGUAGCCGGCAUGAGAGGGUGAACGGCCACAUUGGGACUGAGAUACGGACCAGAAUGCUACGGGAGGCAGCAGUGGGGAAUAUUGCACAAUGGGCGGAAGCCUGAUGCAGCAACGCCGCGUGCGGGAUGACGGCCUUCGGGUUGUAAACCGCUUUCGACUGUGACGAAGCGUGAGUGACGGUAAUGGGUAAAGAAGCACCGGCUAACUACGUG